rnacentral:rRNA from 1 species
GAUGAACGCUGGCGGCGUGCCUAAUACAUGCAAGUCGAGCGAACAGACGAGGAGCUUGCUCCUCUGACGUUAGCGGCGGACGGGUGAGUAACACGUGGAUAACCUACCUAUAAGACUGGGAUAACUUCGGGAAACCGGAGCUAAUACCGGAUAAUAUAUUGAACCGCAUGGUUCAAUAGUGAAAGACGGUUUUGCUGUCACUUAUAGAUGUAUCCGCGCCGCAUUAGCUAGUUGGCAAGGUAACGGCUUACCAAGGCAACGAUGCGUAGCCGACCUGAGAGGGUGAUCGGCCACACUGGAACUGAGACACGGUCCAGACUCCUACGGGAGGCAGCAGUAGGGAAUCUUCCGCAAUGGGCGAAAGCCUGACGGAGCAACGCCGCGUGAGUGAUGAAGGUCUUCGGAUCGUAAAACUCUGUUAUUAGGGAAGAACAAAUGUGUAAGUAACUAUGCACGUCUUGACGGUACCUAAUCAGAAAGCCACGGCUAACUACGUG